rnacentral:rRNA from 1 species
GAUGAACGCUGGCGGCGUGCCUAACACAUGCCAGUCGAACGGAGAUUACGGACGGAAGUUUUCGGAUGGAAGCCUGUAAUUCUUAGUGGCGGACGGGUGAGUAACGCGUGGGCAACCUGCCCUAUACAGGGGGAUAGCAGCUGGAAACGGCUGGUAAGACCGCAUAAGUCGGUUAAAUCGCAUGAUUUGAUCGGGAAAUGAGCAAUCAGGUAUAGGAUGGGCCCGCGUCCGAUUAGCCAGUUGGCAGGGUAAAAGCCUACCAAAGCGACGAUCGGUAGCCGGACUGAGAGGUCGGACGGCCACAUUGGGACUGGGACACGGCCCAAACUCCUACGGGAGGCAGCAGUGGGGGAUAUUGCACAAUGGAGGAAACUCUGAUGCAGCGACGCCGCGUGAGUGAAGAAGUAUUUCGGUAUGUAAAGCUCUAUCAGCAGGGAAGAUGAUGACGGUACCUGACUAAGAAGCCCCGGCUAACUACGUG